GUGCAAUCUGGCUGAUCCAUGUGAAGAAUUAAUUAUAUUCACUGUGUUGCUGUGCCGCUGAUGAAAAAAGAUCUCUCCAAAUCUUCAUGUGAAAUCUCAGUAUUUACGGUGAAGAAUUUUCAUUUGUCUUCAGAAAUUCUUCCGAAAAUCCUUCUCUCUUCCUUUGUCACCGAGAGCCGGUUCCUGCCAAAAUAGACAUCAUCGUUCGCCGGCGACAGCAGUAACAGCACUACCACCUUCUCCCUCCUCUCAUGCGCCGUCUGACAGCAGUAAUUGCACCGUCGUUCGCCGGUGACAGUAGCAGCACCACCACCGCCGAUCUCAUAAUUGCACCACCGUCGAUUUUCAUUUGUGUUAAGAAAUUCUUCCGAACCAUCGGGCCACCGCUGCACUGAUCUCUCUAUCUUUCCACAUCUUCUUGAUUUUCGCCUCAUCUGAUAAUUUUCAUUCAUAUGUUCAAUUUUACUUCAUUAAAUUCUUCAUUUUUUCUCUCCUUGGUUUUUAUUUUGAUUUUCUCUAUGAUUCAUGAUUGCUUUCAGGGCUAAAGGAAGUCUUGGCAAAGAAGAUACGGAUGCUGCUUUUAUUUGUGUAGAGGAUCUUUGUUGACACUGAUUUCAGUUUUUUUUUUUUUUGAAUUCAUGUUAAUGAGAUUGAAGAUAACCAUUGCAACGGAGUACUCAAAUCAGUGAACUUUCAGGCAGAGUAGCAGAAAGAAAGAUAUGCUCUUACAGGACGUCUUUGGGGUGCUGCUGUUCGCGCCUUUGGAAUUGCAUUUCCAGAAUGAGGGGCGAAAGGCGCUGCUGAGCUGUCUCAUUGCUGCAAGUGGUACAAAUUCAUUUAUUUUAACAGAGGUUCAAAUAGCAGAAUGUAACUACGG